rnacentral:lncRNA from 1 species
GAGAACAUAGGUGUUUACUUGUCUCUAGAAGACCACAAGGCCACAGGCUGAGGGGAAGGGGGUAUGUGGGGAGAGAGAGGCUGAAAGGCAACUGGCCCAGUGACAGCAGUGACCUAAUGAUUCAGAGGUAAAUCCAUGGUAACCUGGGCGCAAACACCUGAGAGGAAACAAGUACUGAGGAAGGAAAAUUUUCAUUUUGGAUGAAAAGAACUGGAAAGAAAUCUUAAACAUACUCAUUAUCUUCAAUCUUAGGGCAAUGUUAGAAGAUGGUCAUCACAUGAAGACUUUAAAGGUCAAUUAUACAAACUUGUCAAUUCUUCCACAGAGAGAUGAGGAUUUUAUUAAAAAGAAAUAGAAACCUCAGAGCUUUGUUUCAACACUUGAGGGGACAAGGCAGAAGUUUGUUAGAAUAAGACCUACGUAAACCGGAAUUCAAGUUCCUAGUGCUGGAUCCAAUUUAUCAGUUCUGUUUGGGGUGAGGAAUAAUAGCCAGAAGCAGCAGGACACAGCAUGGGACUUUAUUACAGAAUUCUGUUCAGGUCUAAGAAGUUACAGACAAACUCUUUCAUCAAGAAUGUGCACUUCUUUCUGCCUGGCAACUGGAGGUGUCCAUAUGAAGUUGCUUUUUGGCAUGGUUUUCUAGACCAAACAGCAGUAAGUCUUUGA